GAUGAACGCUGGCGGCGUGCCUAAUACAUGCAAGUCGAGCGAAUGGAUUAAGAGCUUGCUCUUAUGAAGUUAGCGGCGGACGGGUGAGUAACACGUGGGUAACCUGCCCAUAAGACUGGGAUAACUCCGGGAAACCGGGGCUAAUACCGGAUAAUAUUUUGAACUGCAUGGUUCAAAAUUGAAAGGCGGCUUCGGCUGUCACUUAUGGAUGGACCCGCGUCGCAUUAGCUAGUUGGUGAGGUAACGGCUCACCAAGGCAACGAUGCGUAGCCGACCUGAGAGGGUGGUCGGCCACACUGGGACUGAGACACGGCCCAGACGCCUACGGGAGGCAGCAGUAGGGAAUCUUCCGCAAUGGACGAAAGUCUGACGGAGCAACGCCGCGUGAGUGAUGAAGGCUUUCGGGUCGUAAAACUCUGUUGUUAGGGAAGAACAAGUGCUAGUUGAAUAAGCUGGCACCUUGACGGUACCUAACCAGAAAGCCACGGCUAACUACGUGCCAGCAGCCGCGGUAA
rnacentral:rRNA from 1 species